CACCUUAACUCUGCAGCCUGGACUGUCUCUCACAAUGCUUUGCUAGUGACAAGCAGCAAACCUCUGCAGGCGCUGUUAUCACUCAGUACGACAGCAUGUGGUGCCCCAUACCCAGCCAAAUUGCAUGAAUGCUCCCUGAGCCACUCAGAAAUCACACAGAGAAAGACAUCAGCAAAUUUCCCAGCUCACAGCCUUGCACCCAAGACACUCUACCA